AUACGUAGGGGUCAAGCGUUGUCCGGAUUCAUUGGGCGUAAAGAGCUCGUAGGCGGCUCAGUAAGUCGGUCGUGAAAACCCGGGGCUCAACCCCGGGACGCCGAUCGAUACUGCUGUGGCUAGGGUUCGGUAGAGGAGAGUGGAAUUCCCGGUGUAGCGGUGAAAUGCGCAGAUAUCUGGAGGAACACCAGUAGCGAAGGCGGCUCUCUGGGCCGACACCGACGCUGAGGAGCGAAAGCUAGGGGAGCAAACAGGAUUAGAUACCCUGGUAGUCCUAGCCGUAAACGUUGGGCACUAGGUGUGGCGGACUCAUUGACGUCUGCCGUGCCGCAGCUAACGCAUUAAGUGCCCCGCCUGGGGAGUACGGUCGCAAGACUAAA
rnacentral:rRNA from 1 species